rfam:Clostridium sp. KLE 1755 genomic scaffold Scaffold596, whole genome shotgun sequence.
GAUGCACGCUAGGGGAGCCGAUUGCUGAGACUGAAACCGAUGGUUUCUGACCCUUACCACUUGACCCGGGUAAUACCGGCGUAAGGAAGCACCUUUGUAAAAGC